UACGAAGGGGGCUAGCGUUGCUCGGAAUCACUGGGCGUAAAGGGCGCGUAGGCGGCGUUUUUAAGUCGGGGGUGAAAGCCUGUGGCUCAACCACAGAAUGGCCUUCGAUACUGGGACGCUUGAGUAUGGUAGAGGUUGGUGGAACUGCGAGUGUAGAGGUGAAAAUUCGUAGAUAUUCGCAAGAACACCAGUGGCGAAGGCGGCUCACUGGCCCGAUACUGACGCUGAGGUGCGAAAGCGUGGGGAGCAAACAGG
rnacentral:rRNA from 1 species